rnacentral:rRNA from 1 species
UGUAAGUAAGUCGUAGCCGACGAGGUGAUACGGAGGGUCCAAGCGGGGUGCGGAGUUACUGUGUGGAAAGGGGGCGAAGGCUGACUUGUGAGUCGGGGGGGAAAGCUCGCCGCUUAACGGCGAAACUGCCGUAGAGACUAUCAGUCUUGGAUAAGCGAGAGGUUCGUGGAAUUCCGAGUGUAGCAGUGAAAUGUGUAGAUAUUCGGAAGAACACCAGUGGCGAAGGCAGCGAACUGGCGCUUUAUCGACGCUCAUGCACGAAAGCAUGGGGAUCAAACAGGAUUAGAUACCCUUGUAGUC